UACGUAGGGUGCAAGCGUUAAUCGGAAUUACUGGGCGUAAAGCGUGCGCAGGCGGUGAUGUAAGACAGAUGUGAAAUCCCCGGGCUCAACCUGGGAACUGCAUUUGUGACUGCAUCGCUGGAGUACGGCAGAGGGGGAUGGAAUUCCGCGUGUAGCAGUGAAAUGCGUAGAUAUGCGGAGGAACACCGAUGGCGAAGGCAAUCCCCUGGGCCUGUACUGACGCUCAUGCACGAAAGCGUGGGGAGCAAGCAGG
rnacentral:rRNA from 1 species